rnacentral:rRNA from 1 species
CUAAGCGUACACGGUGGAUGCCCUGGCAGUCAGAGGCGAUGAAGGACGUGCUAAUCUGCGAUAAGCGUCGGUAAGGUGAUAUGAACCGUUAUAACCGGCGAUUUCCGAAUGGGGAAACCCAGUGUGUUUCGACACACUAUCAUUAACUGAAUCCAUAGGUUAAUGAGGCGAACCGGGGGAACUGAAACAUCUAAGUACCCCGAGGAAAAGAAAUCAACCGAGAUUCCCCCAGUAGCGGCGAGCGAACGGGGAGCAGCCCAGAGCCUGAAUCAGUGUGUGUGUUAGUGGAAGCGUCUGGAAAGGCGCGCGAUACAGGGUGACAGCCCCGUACACAAAAAUGCACAUGCUGUGAGCUCGAUGAGUAGGGCGGGACACGUGGUAUCCUGUCUGAAUAUGGGGGGACCAUCCUCCAAGGCUAAAUACUCCUGACUGACCGAUAGUGAACCAGUACCGUGAGGGAAAGGCGAAAAGAACCCCGGCGAGGGGAGUGAAAAAGAACCUGAAACCGUGUACGUACAAGCAGUGGGAGCACGCUUAGGCGUGUGACUGCGUACCUUUUGUAUAAUGGGUCAGCGACUUAUAUUCUGUAGCAAGGUUAACCGAAUAGGGGAGCCGAAGGGAAACCGAGUCUUAACUGGGCGUUAAGUUGCAGGGUAUAGACCCGAAACCCGGUGAUCUAGCCAUGGGCAGGUUGAAGGUUGGGUAACACUAACUGGAGGACCGAACCGACUAAUGUUGAAAAAUUAGCGGAUGACUUGUGGCUGGGGGUGAAAGGCCAAUCAAACCGGGAGAUAGCUGGUUCUCCCCGAAAGCUAUUUAGGUAGCGCCUCGUGAAUUCAUCUCCGGGGGUAGAGCACUGUUUCGGCAAGGGGGUCAUCCCGACUUACCAACCCGAUGCAAACUGCGAAUACCGGAGAAUGUUAUCACGGGAGACACACGGCGGGUGCUAACGUCCGUCGUGAAGAGGGAAACAACCCAGACCGCCAGCUAAGGUCCCAAAGUCAUGGUUAAGUGGGAAACGAUGUGGGAAGGCCCAGACAGCCAGGAUGUUGGCUUAGAAGCAGCCAUCAUUUAAAGAAAGCGUAAUAGCUCACUGGUCGAGUCGGCCUGCGCGGAAGAUGUAACGGGGCUAAACCAUGCACCGAAGCUGCGGCAGCGACGCUGAUGCGUUGUUGGGUAGGGGAGCGUUCUGUAAGCCUGCGAAGGUGUGCUGUGAGGCAUGCUGGAGGUAUCAGAAGUGCGAAUGCUGACAUAAGUAACGAUAAAGCGGGUGAAAAGCCCGCUCGCCGGAAGACCAAGGGUUCCUGUCCAACGUUAAUCGGGGCAGGGUGAGUCGACCCCUAAGGCGAGGCCGAAAGGCGUAGUCGAUGGGAAACAGGUUAAUAUUCCUGUACUUGGUGUUACUGCGAAGGGGGGACGGAGAAGGCUAUGUUGGCCGGGCGACGGUUGUCCCGGUUUAAGCGUGUAGGCUGGUUUUCCAGGCAAAUCCGGAAAAUCAAGGCUGAGGCGUGAUGACGAGGCACUACGGUGCUGAAGCAACAAAUGCCCUGCUUCCAGGAAAAGCCUCUAAGCAUCAGGUAACAUCAAAUCGUACCCCAAACCGACACAGGUGGUCAGGUAGAGAAUACCAAGGCGCUUGAGAGAACUCGGGUGAAGGAACUAGGCAAAAUGGUGCCGUAACUUCGGGAGAAGGCACGCUGAUAUGUAGGUGAAGCGACUUGCUCGUGGAGCUGAAAUCAGUCGAAGAUACCAGCUGGCUGCAACUGUUUAUUAAAAACACAGCACUGUGCAAACACGAAAGUGGACGUAUACGGUGUGACGCCUGCCCGGUGCCGGAAGGUUAAUUGAUGGGGUCAGCGCAAGCGAAGCUCUUGAUCGAAGCCCCGGUAAACGGCGGCCGUAACUAUAACGGUCCUAAGGUAGCGAAAUUCCUUGUCGGGUAAGUUCCGACCUGCACGAAUGGCGUAAUGAUGGCCAGGCUGUCUCCACCCGAGACUCAGUGAAAUUGAACUCGCUGUGAAGAUGCAGUGUACCCGCGGCAAGACGGAAAGACCCCGUGAACCUUUACUAUAGCUUGACACUGAACAUUGAGCCUUGAUGUGUAGGAUAGGUGGGAGGCUUGGAAGUGUGGACGCCAGUCUGCAUGGAGCCGACCUUGAAAUACCACCCUUUAAUGUUUGAUGUUCUAACGUUGACCCGUAAUCCGGGUUGCGGACAGUGUCUGGUGGGUAGUUUGACUGGGGCGGUCUCCUCCUAAAGAGUAACGGAGGAGCACGAAGGUUGGCUAAUCCUGGUCGGACAUCAGGAGGUUAGUGCAAUGGCAUAAGCCAGCUUGACUGCGAGCGUGACGGCGCGAGCAGGUGCGAAAGCAGGUCAUAGUGAUCCGGUGGUUCUGAAUGGAAGGGCCAUCGCUCAACGGAUAAAAGGUACUCCGGGGAUAACAGGCUGAUACCGCCCAAGAGUUCAUAUCGACGGCGGUGUUUGGCACCUCGAUGUCGGCUCAUCACAUCCUGGGGCUGAAGUAGGUCCCAAGGGUAUGGCUGUUCGCCAUUUAAAGUGGUACGCGAGCUGGGUUUAGAACGUCGUGAGACAGUUCGGUCCCUAUCUGCCGUGGGCGCUGGAGAACUGAGGGGGGCUGCUCCUAGUACGAGAGGACCGGAGUGGACGCAUCACUGGUGUUCGGGUUGUCAUGCCAAUGGCACUGCCCGGUAGCUAAAUGCGGAAGAGAUAAGUGCUGAAAGCAUCUAAGCACGAAACUUGCCCCGAGAUGAGUUCUCCCUGACUCCUUGAGAGUCCUGAAGGAACGUUGAAGACGACGACGUUGAUAGGCCGGGUGUGUAAGCGCAGCGAUGCGUUGAGCUAACCGGUACUAAUGAACCGUGAGGCUUAACCUU